GGGGGGGGGGGGGGGGGGGGCGGGGGGGGGGGGGGGGGGGGGGGGAGGGGGGCUGGCGGCGGGGGGGAGCGGGGGGGGGGUGAGUAAUGCCUAGGAAUCUGCGGGGUAGUGGGGGAGAACGUCCGGAGACGGGCGCUAAUAGCGCGUGCGGCCGGAGGGAGAAGGGGGGGGAUCUGCGGCACUCACGCGAUCAGGUGCGCCUAGGUCGGAUUAGCUAGUUUGUGGGGUGACGGCCUACCACGGCGACGAUCCGGAACUGGUCUGAGAGGAUGACCAGUCACACUGGAACUGAGACACGGUCCAGCCUCCUACGGGAGGCAGCAGUGGGGAAUAUUGGCCAAUGGGCGAAAUCCUGAUCCAGCCAUGCCGCGUGUGUGAAGAAGGUCUUCGGAUUGUAAAGCACUUUAAGUUGGGAGGAAGGGCAGUAAGUUAAUACCUUGCUGUUUUGACGUUACCAACAGAAUAAGCACCGGCUAACUUCGUG
rnacentral:rRNA from 1 species